UACUAAACAUGUUGAAUUAGUAUCAGCCAACUGAAGAAGACGUUUAACUAUAACUUGUGUGCUAUGUUGCUACUUUUAUUUACAGCUCCAUAUCAGCGGGAGCAAAUCAAAGACAGUGCCUUAGCUGCCAAACAAGACAGUCAGGGAUCAAGAAAAAGAAAACAACUCCCUGAAACCUCAUUUCAUGGAGAGUAAGCGCCGAGUCUCCUUUGCUCGGUGACAGCCACCUCGAGAGGGUGCUUCUGAAAUAGUGUUUCUAUUAGGCUAUCGGCUUCUUGCUGUAAGCUAUAGUUGCGUGGUAUCGAUGAACUUGAACAAGACGAGUUGAACAUAGUUCAAAAUCAUCCUCAAACUGUCAGCAAAAAGCUUGGGUCUUUGAGGAUGAUAAGCAGACUCCCACUUCCUCCCUCAAGCUUCUUCUUCUUCUUCUUUCCUCCCUCAUUGGCCGGGUCUCUUAAACCUUUGACAAACCCUAGUUUCAGAAAACCUCGUUUCACCCUUUCUCUCGAUACCCAAUUUUCUGACCGCUUCGACUCCGGCCUACUUUUCCGUGAGAAAAUACUCUACCUUGAGAACCACCUCAAUGUCGAUUCCCGCAAAGCCUUCCGGGAGAAUCCCCAUUGUCGCUCUGCUACUCUCUCCACUCUCAAAUCCGUCGAGGUCUGUCUCUCUUCCAUGGGACUUGACCGAUCUGCAGUCAGCCGCGUUCUCGAUAUGCACCCCAAACUCCUGACCUCGAAUCCGGACUAUGAUAUUUACCCCAUCUUUGAUUUUCUUCUUAAUGAAGUUGAAAUUCCAUUUCCCGACAUUCGUAAAUCUAUAAUUCGAUGCCCUAGAAUUCUCGUCUCCGACUUGGACCAUCAAUUGCGACCUGCUUUGAAGUUCUUGCGUGACCUGGGUUUUGUUGGGUUGAAAGCCAUCACGUGCCAGACGACAUUGCUACUGGUUUCGAGUGUUGAACAUACCCUUUUGCCUAAGAUUCAGUACCUUGAGAGCUUGGGCUUAUCGCAUGAGGAUGUGGUUAAUAUGGUGUUAAGGUCUCCGGGUUUGUUGACUUAUAGCAUUCAAAACAAUUUGGUUCCUAAAGUGAGUUAUUUCUUAGGAGACAUGAAGGGUGAUUUGUUGGAAUUGAAACGGUUUCCGCAAUAUUUUUCGUUUAACUUGGAGAGGAAGAUUAAGCUGCGUCAUCGUUCACUGGUUGAACAUGGUUUGUCACUUCCUUUGUCGAAAAUGCUGAAGGCUAGUGACGGGGAGUUCAAUGCAUGGUUGAUAGAAAUGCGGUGCAGUUCGUUGAUGGCUGAUCGUUGAAGUGAGUUGCUUUGCUUCCUGUAGUUUUGUAGUUUCUUUGGAUGAGAUUAUUUAGGAUGCUGCUUUUCUCUGUACAGUUCGGCAAAUCAUUCCCUGUUUUUCCCUCCCUGGAACUGUGGUGGAAAUGAUUCUACAGCUCGAUCGACAAGACCAGGCAUUCUACCAUAUUCAUCUUUUAAUGCUGACCUUGACUAUCUAAAUUGGUUGGGCUGGAGGGAUUCACACGAUUGUUCCCAUCUUGAGUGAGAUCAUCAGUCAGAAUGUUUGCUAUUUAAACAGAGAAUACGUAGAAGACAGAGACUCAACGCUUCCACAAUUACCAUUUGUUGAUGCAAUGCCGGCCCUGACUACUGUAAUUUGUUGAGAACUUUGGAGACUUGCAAGUUUGGCCCCCAUCCCAAAUGACUGCAUCACAUCUGGAAGAUUGCUGUCUAAGUAGAAAAUAUCGUGAAAACUAUGCGAUUCCCCUUGAACCCCUACCAUCAAUUGAAUUUAAUUUCCUAUGAGAGGCAUUGUAAGAACACUCAACCUGUAUAUUCUAAAUCUUUGACCAUUGUUUGAAAUUCAUCAGAAAGAACAUGUGGUUGGGUUUGCAAAAGGCUCAAACUUCAAGGAAGAAGAAAGGGAAAGAUAGGGUGAAGUGAACCCCCAAAAGGCCCAAAUCAUAUGAUAACUUAAGGCAAUGUACACCUCCAUUCUGGGGGCUAUAAAUGCAGUCUACUGAAAUCAUCAGUAGGACUUGAAUUAUAUUUUUCUGGUGGAAGAAAAGUUAGUGGUGUUGAAAAUGAAACUAGAUUUUGUCCCACCAAAGUUAGAAACAAUGAGAGAUUGAUUUCAUAAUGCAUGAUGAUUCAUUUUCUUGUUGAAACAUGAGCCGAAGGACACGGUUUCUUGCUGCAGAAAUGCAUCACUGUUCAGUAGUCCAGAUUCCAGGGGUACGUUGUCCAUUACAUUACAUGACAAGUUUUGAAGGGUACAGUAUGUAUGAAAGGCCUUGGGGUCAUCUCUGUUUCUCGGGACAACAAAUGCAAAUGCAAAUGCAAAAUUUGGGGUCAGCAUUCGUCACCUCUGGACCCCUUUACCUUCCUACAAUCAAUUUGCUCAGACACAGAAAAACAAGAGAGAAGGCAUCUGUCCCAUUCUUUAAUCAUUCACCCUCGAAGGAUGGGAUGAGUUUUUGAUUUGAAAUUCAUGGUCUUCAUUUAAUUCUGUCUCUCUCUGCUCUACUCUACUCUUAAACAGUAUUCUAUUUAUAUUAUGGUUGGUUGCUUCUAAGACAGAUCUGUCUCACAGGAGAAUGAAUGUUCUACGUAAGUCAAGUUGGUUUCAACUUUCAAUACUUGGAUUAAUUUUGGUUUAUACAUUAGAUGUUAAGAUAGAAAUGGUUUUUGAUUUGUUGGCAUGAGAUAUUAUUGUAAAUGCUUAUCUCGGAUGGAAGAGUAGGCCAAAGAGAAUUCAUAGACAGUGAAAUUAUCUGUUAUGAGACAGCAAUUUCAGAAUCCACAUGUUAUGAAUUUAUGGUUGUGAAGGAA